rnacentral:lncRNA from 1 species
UGAAAAGUAAGUACAAGGUUAAUGAAAUAUGUCCUGUAUCUAUUCAUCGUUUUUGUGCUUCUUAUGUUUGGCAGUCAUUGUCAAAAAUAUGAGGACGAUUUCGGGAGAACAUCGUUUGGAGUUUGCGGAAUCAGUUGAUUUAAUCAAUGGCAGUGGAGUACCUUACGAAUACGUUUGGGGAAUUAAACAAUUUUUUGGUUGGUGCUGCAUCAAAAGCUCCUAACUAACCAUAAGUGAGUGAGGAGAAAUAUAACAACCAAUGGUAGCUGUGUAGGUGUGGUGACAAGAUAGUUCUUCAUGCUUUGUGCGACUGCUCAUUUGCGGAAAAGGUAUGGAGAAUGGUUAUUCCAUCGCAUUUGUUACCAUGUUUUUUUAUGUUGAUUUACCGAACUGGGUGUUUGUAAUUCUGAAUGGUGAAUUUGAUGACAAUGAUUGUAAUGUUUUAAAGUAUGCUAUCUUGUGUUGGAUACUAUGGAAGAAUAGGAAUUGUUUUAUUUUUUAGCAAACUAUAAGCAG